GGCCUCACUCAGUGGGUUAAGGAUCCAGCAUUACUGCAAGCUGUGGUGUAGGUGGUGGAUGUGGCUUGGGUCCCAAGUUGUUGUGACUGUGACAUAGGCCAGCAGCUGCAGCUCCGAUGCCAUCCCUAGCCUGGGAAUUCCCAUCCCUAGCCUGGGAAUUUAAACAAAAAAAAAAAGGAGGAGUUAAAAACCCUCUGUAUAAAAUGAAGUUUGUUCAGCAGUCUUUUUAUUAUGUUUUUCGCUGGUGCCCAGCAGAGUUCCGCAUGCGUGAAAUGGAUUCUUGGGGAAACUCUUCUUUCUCCUUUUGGCACCUUCACUGACCUUUUGAACCAGAAACUGGCGUGGAGACACCCGGGCGCUGGCUGGCUCUGCUCUCCCUGAGUCACGCAGGCCGAACGGGAGCCGCCCUGUGGGUUCCCAGCUGCCGAGAGCAUCCCAGGGGAAGCUUUGUAAGCAGUUGAUCACACAGUUAGCUCAUCAUCUUGACACCAGCAGGUGGGGGUGGUAUUUCCCGUCGUGGCUCAGCAGUAAUAAAUCUGACCGGUAUCCAUGAGGAUGUAGGUUCGAUCCCUGGCCUUGAUCGAAGACUCCGGCGUUUCUGUGAGCUGUGGUAUAGGUUGCAGAUUUCAGCUCGGAGCCUGCAUUGCUGUGGCUAUGCAGCUCUGAUUCAGCCCCUAGCCUGGGAACCUCCAUAUGCUGCGAGUACGGCCCUAAAAAGACACACACGCACGCAACAAAAGACAGACAUACAAACAGACCACGUGAGGGUGUACAGAGCGCGUGUUCAUGUGGUCCCACCUCACCAGUCAUCUCUGUAAGUCUGUGGGGUUGGGCAGGGCGGGUGCAGUGGUAUCGUGCCCCGUUUACAGAUGAGAACACUGAGGUGGGAGAGGUUCAAAGGCUCAUUCUCCGCUGCAGCCGGGAGUCGGAAGAGCAAGGGAUCCUCCUCAAUCCCAAACCUGGGCUGUGCUCCGCUUUGCGUGCUGUCCUCUGGAACCGAAAUGCAACACUGUGGCCUGCCUUUCCAGCUUAGAGGCAGAGGGUUUUCCACACACUCCAGCCGGAGGGGAGAGUAUGCCGCUUCAGUCCUCUUUUGCAGGCCGGUGAAGCGGCAGCAGGAAGGGACGCUUCAGGCAGGCCGGGGUGCCCUGGGUAAAGCAGGGUGGGGGGGCUCUCUCCAGGAGGUCCGCUUCUCUGACCCGGUCCAGGCCUUGCAGGGGCUGUGCGCAGAGCCCACACCAGCCUGGAAACUUCAGCUUGCUGCCGGAGGCUCUGCCUAGGUGCCUGAUGGGCGACAUUGGAUGUGGUCUCCCACCUCCUGCUGUGUGGGGCUUGGCUCAGCCUGAAGGCCCAGCUGACUGUGGCAGCUUCUCAGAGACCCCCGGCAAGGGUUUGCUGAGCGCCUGGUGAGGCCAGGGGCUGGGGAUCCUGGCUCUCAGAAGGGUUAUACUUGCCCAGAUGAGAGCUGGCUUGCAGGCAUGCCCAAGGCUCAGGGGGCACAGCUCCAGCCGAGGAGGGCUUUCUUGGGACAGCGAUAUCUGAGAUGCCGAGGGGCCAGCUGAGUCCUUUGCCUCUGCACCCGUUCUUGUGUGAAGAUCCCUGGUGGCAGAAAGUGUCACCCUUACAGUGUCAGAGGGUGGGCAGGGAGGAAUAUGGAGCUAAGGGUUGCCAGCAAAAUGUCAAAGCCCUUCGGGUGAAUUGCAGAUGCUCCCGGGGUGGAUGGGGAAGGGGCCUGCUGACCAUCCUACAGGGUCUGAGGCUGUCCCCCAGCAAAGGAGCAGCUGUUCCCCCAGCACUACCCUUUCUUCCUCCGCCCACCCCAAAUUACAUGGAGAAACACAACAUUGUUUUGGAGGGGCAGGUGGGGGCUAUAAAGAAGACAGGAAGCAGACCCCACAGGGCAUGGUGGGCUGAGUGGAGGAGAAGGUGCUGGCCCUGGGCAGCUGGCCCUCCUGUGGGGAAGCUGGCGGUGCCCCUCCGCCCUUUGCCUGAGGGUGACCGUCACAGCCCCUCCUGUACUUUUAGGGCUGCUGUUGCUGUAAAGCCCCCCAAGGAGAGCCCCAGGCCCCUGAGGCCUCAAGCCUGUGGUCAUCAGCGGAGAGGGAGCAGGUCAGGACCCACAGAGCCCUGCCGGCCCAGGGUCACCUGCCACCACCAAACAGUGGAGCUGUUUUCUACGCCAGGGGGCAAGGCCAGCUUCCUGGGUGGGAGAACCGCUUAGUCAGCGAGGGGUGCGCGCUUUGCGACCUCACCCCAGUGCUCUUAACCGAGUUUGGAGCAAGAGGUGCACAUUUUUAUUUUGCACUGAGCCCGGUGUAUCAUGCAGCCGAUCCUGACGGUAGUUAAAGCGACCCGUGAGUGCAGUGGCUAGAGGCCUUCUUAUCCCCCAGCCUUGGCGCUGGUCUCUGCUUCCCCACCUUCCUCCUCCUCGUCUUCGUCAUCAUCUCCGCCAGUCCUUUCUGCCUGUUUGAUGGGAGACAAAGGCCUGGCUCUGAGAUCAUCCCACUUAGCCCC
rnacentral:lncRNA from 1 species